GCGUUUCAUUAAACGUGAAACCAUCUGAUUUUGGGUCUGAAUUGGGCUUUGCUUUCAGAAACCAGAAGCUCUUCGCGUGAGGCCCAUCGAUCUAGAGUUUCGAAAGCGUUCUUUCAUCUUCUUCCUAAAAAUCAGAGAGAGUUGAUUUAAUCCUGCAGACCGUUUCAUAAUAUCUGACUCGAUUCUUAGUUCUCAGAGUUUUAGAGAUUCUAAGUUUUUCGCUUCUUAAAUUUUUGUGUUCAAAAAAAAAUUGUUUUUUACAGAGAAUUUGAAAGUGGAAGGGUAAAUUAAGAGGAGGAUCAUCGGGAGUAAAAGCAAACAAGAUCAUGAUUGUUAUCCUUCUCUUUUCUCUCCUCUUUGUUAUAAGGAUCAAAAUACAAAUCAUCAUCAUCGUUGAUCCUCCUCUUAAAUUCACACAUAGCUGAGUUUUUCUUUUUCAAAUAAAGCAACAACCGAUUUUCUUUGUGCAGGUAACGAUGUUCGAGAAUAGGUAUCCGUUCAGAGGAUCUUCUUCCGCCGGCAAAUACUCUUCGCCACCGCCGCCACAGACUGUCAAUGAGUCGGAUCUUAUUACGAAAUCGAUCACUCUGUUCUCCCUCUCAGAGUCUCAGAUCGCCACAGCAACUCAAGUCCAUCUGAAUCGUCAUGGUGAGCAAAAUCACUAGAAGCGAUUAACUCUCCUGGUGGAGAAUGUAUAUGUGUAAUAAUCAAUGUUUUUCCUGGUGGAGUACUGAAUCAUUAACUCUCCAAGCAGGAAUCUAUGUAUAUAUGAGUUACUUUGCCCAUGAAAGUGAAAGCGUGCCUUAAGGUUUAUGGUUUGUAUUUUUUUGGUUAUUCUCGGGAUUUAAUGGUUUUUGGUUUUCUCAAUUUACAGCGAGAGAAAGGUUAGCUUUUUACUUGAUGCGGAGGACACUAUUGCUGAAUACGAGAAUAAUGCAAAGGCGAAAAGAACAGAAAAACUGGAGAAACAGGAAGGCUAAGCACUUGAUCGUUUGAACAAUCUCGACCAUGUAACUAAAGUUGAGUUUUUACACCGCCUCAAUGACUUAAAAGAUGGGUUCCGGAGUUUGCUGGAGUCUGUUGGUACUUCAAGGGCGAUAACGUCUGAAGAUGUUGAGCAGAUGUUCUCAAAGAUGAAAAAUAAACGGAAAAGGAUGGAGUGAGUUUAGUAGUCAAUGAUCAGAGGAGGUAUGAGUAUAAUAAAGGUAUUAAAGUCGUUUCGUUUACACAUAAAGAUGUGUGUUUCGUUAGUUCAUCUCUGCUCUUUUAACUACCUUUAGCUCCUAAGUUAUGCAAACAACUAUGUACUUCAGGUAUGGAGCUUGAAGCUUUUGUGUAACUGCUCUGAUUAAUUGAUGUUAUAUUGGAUUGUG